GAUGAACGCUGGCGGCGUGCCUAAUACAUGCAAGUCGAGCGAACAGACGAGGAGCUUGCUCCUCUGACGUUAGCGGCGGACGGGUGAGUAACACGUGGAUAACCUACCUAUAAGACUGGGAUAACUUCGGGAAACCGGAGCUAAUACCGGAUAAUAUAUUGAACCGCAUGGUUCAAUAGUGAAAGACGGUUUUGCUGUCACUUAUAGAUGGAUCCGCGCCGCAUGAGCUAGUUGGUAAGGUAACGGCUUACUAAGGCAACGAUGCGUAGCCGACCUGAGAGAGUGAUCGGCCACAUGGGAGCGGAGCCGCGGUCCAGGCUCCUACGGGAGGCAGCAGUAGGGAAUCUGCGGCAGUGGGCGAGAGCUUGACGGAACGGCGCCGCGUGAGUGAUGAAGGUCUUGGGAUCGUAAAACCCGGUUAUUAGGGAAAAACAAAUGUGUAAGUAACUGUGCACGUCUUGACGGUACCUAAUCAGAAAGCCACGGCUAACUACGUG
rnacentral:rRNA from 1 species